rnacentral:rRNA from 1 species
CCUACGGGCGGCUGCAGUGGGGAAUAUUGCACAAUGGGCGCAAGCCUGAUGCAGCCAUGCCGCGUGUGUGAAGAAGGCCUUCGGGUUGUAAAGCACUUUCAGCGGGGAGGAAGGCGGUGAGGUUAAUAACCUCAUCGAUUGACGUUACCCGCAGAAGAAGCACCGGCUAACUCCGUGCCAGCAGCCGCGGUAAUACGGAGGGUGCAAGCGUUAAUCGGAAUUACUGGGCGUAAAGCGCACGCAGGCGGUCUGUCAAGUCGGAUGUGAAAUCCCCGGGCUCAACCUGGGAACUGCAUUCGAAACUGGCAGGCUAGAGUCUUGUAGAGGGGGGUAGAAUUCCAAGUGUAGCGGUGAAAUGCGUAGAGAUCUGGAGGAAUACCGGUGGCGAAGGCGGCCCCCUGGACAAAGACUGACGCUCAGGUGCGAAAGCGUGGGGAGCAAACAGGAUUAGAUACCCCGGUAGUC